GAUGAAGAACGUAGCGAAAUGCGAUAAGUAAUGUGAAUUGCAGAAUUCAGUGAAUCAUCGAAUCUUUGAACGCACACUGCGCCCGCCAGUAUUCUGGCGGGCAUGCCUGUUCGAGCGUCAUUUCAACCAUCAAGCCCCCCGGCUUGUGUUGGGGACCUGCGGCUGCCGCAGGCCCUGAAAAGCAGUGGCGGGCUCGCUGUCACACCGAGCGUAGUAGCAUACAUCUCGCUCUGGGCGUGCUGCGGGUUCCGGCCGUUAAACCACCUUCAUAACCCAAGGUUGACCUCGGAUCAGGUAGGAAGACCCGCUGAACUUAAGCAUAUCAAUAAGCGGAGGA
rnacentral:misc_RNA from 1 species